UACGAACCGUGCGAGCGUUGUUCGGAUUCACUGGGCUUAAAGGGCGCGUAGGCGGGCCAUCAAGUCAGGGGUGAAAUCUUUCGGCUCAACCGGAAAAGUGCCUUUGAUACUGGUGGCCUCGAGGGAGGUAGGGGCAUGCGGAACUUCCGGUGGAGCGGUGAAAUGCGUAGAUAUCGGAAGGAACACCGGUGGCGAAGGCGGCUUCCUGGACCGACACUGACGCUGAGGCGCGAAAGCUAGGGGAGCAAACGGG
rnacentral:rRNA from 1 species